rfam:Aedes aegypti strain Liverpool supercont1.187 genomic scaffold, whole genome shotgun sequence.
ACCGAUUAUAUUGUCCUGUCACAGCAGUACUGUUACAAAUUUACUGUUGUUUCGGGACAUUUACAUUGAU